CUCCAAAUGCACCAGCUCCCGAGUGGAGAUGGAACGGAAGGUGUCGGCGAUGGCGCCGCGGCCGGCCGCACUGUUGCCAGCACCUUGCAGCAGGUCCACCUUAAGAGCUGCGUGGUACUUCUCCUUCAGCCUCAGCCAAUCCGCUGCUCAGGACUCCAUGACAUAAGUAGUUGCCGAGUGGAUUCUCUGCAAGGUACCGGCGCUCCUCUCCUUAAACACAGUUUCUGGCCUUUGGGCGGAGUGUGCACGUGCCGUGCCGGCGAUUGACUUCCGGAAGGGACACAAGGCGCGAAAAAGACAUUUGAAUUUGGACAGACAAGCAACCCAGCCACCUUUCAGUGUGGCUGUGUCAGUAUCGGAAUGAAAUGAACAUGACCCCCUCCAGCAGGGAAGGAUCACACAGUAAAGAAGCUCAUGGAUACUAGCUUCCAGGAAGAGAAUGAGGUCCAGCAGUUUACUACAACUCCCAUAUACAAAUGGAGAAGCUGAGAUCCGGCAAUGGUGUCUUACCCAAAAGAAUGUGACACACACCUGUGUGUGAUCCCAACCAAGGCAGCUGAACACGGAUCACACCAGCCUUCACAAUCCAGCUCCCCUGCCAACGUCCCCAAGAGCCUGAGGAACUUCUGAACCUGUGCGGCCAGAUCCCAAAUAAAUGUGAAGAUGCAAGGCAAUCCAAUUUUUAAUUAGGUGAAGGAUUUCUAUAGACGUUUCUCCAGAGAAAAUAUGCAAAUAGCCAAUAAGCAAUUAAAAGAUGCUCAACAUUGUUAGUCAUUCGGGAAAUGCCAAUGCGUGGGAAGAAGAAGACAUUUUUCGCUACCCUUUUAAGUUAUUCUGCCUGGUCUAAUAAUUACAUUGAUGUGGGACAGAUUAACAAAAGAUAAUAACCAAGUUUAAUUAUAUACACCCAUGUGGGAACCCCACGUACAUGACAGGUUCAGAGACAGAAAGGUAAAAUGAGGUGUAUCUAUAACAUCCUGAGCUAAGGAACGAGGUCAGGAGGCUGGGGCUUCAGAGGGGGGGAAGGCCAUUUGCAGAAUGAUAAGAAAAGCAGAUUUUAGUAAUUAGAUCUUUGACACGCCCUAUAGAUAGGUCAUAAAAAGUUAUUUCUGGUGAUAACUUUUAUUGUGGGCAAGGCCUCAAAUUUAAAUUCUUUCAGGAAGAGGAAAUAGUUUCUCCUGAGCCUGCAGGGUCUUGAUUGCCUUCAGCUCAAAAUAAUCCACAUGCCAAGUAGCACAUCUUGGGGGGGCUUGUACUGAACCCCUUCACCAAUCAAAAUCAUAAUGAGAUACCACUUCACACUCACUAGGAUUGCUAUAACGAAAAAAAACAUACUAACAAGUGUUGGGAAGGAUUCAAACAAAUUGCAACCCUCAUAAACUGCUAGUAAAAAUGUAAAAGGGUGCUGCUACUUUGGAAAACUGACAGUUUUUGAAAGGUUAAACGUAGAGUUACCAUAUGACCCAGAGAUUCCCCUAGGUAUAUAUAUCCAAGAGAACUGAAAAUAUAUGUGCACACAAAAACUGAUACAUGUAUGUUGAUGCAGUAUUAUUUAUAAUAGCCAAACAAAU